UUAUACAUUUUCCCGAAUUUAGAAGAUCUAGAUUAAGUUAUAAUUUUAGAGAGAUAAACUAUAUUGUAGUAUUACUAUGGUUAAAGCUUAAUUUAGUGGUGAAACACUUUCAAUUCUACGGAUAGCUGGAAGUUUAUUAAAUAUAUUAAGUAUAGUGAACAUUAAGGAAAUGUUUAGAUUUCUUUAGUUGAGGAUUUUAAUUAAAUUAUUUUUAAAGUGGUUUAAUUAUUUAUUUUAUGGUAGUUAUAAUUAUUAAUAUUUAAAAUAAUCUUUUAAUUUCAUAGACGAUUUAUGUUAAUUAACAUAUAAAUUCAUAAUGUUUAAAUUAGUAUUUAUUUUAAAGUUAUUAUAAGGAACUCGACAAAUAUUACCUUUAUCUGUUUACCAAAAACAUAGCUUUAAGUAUUUUAUUUAAGGUUGGGCCUGCCCAAUGAAAUUAAUUAUUUAAUGGCCGCAGUACCUUGACUGUGCAAAGGUAGCGUAAUCAGUUGGCUUUUAAAUGGAGUCGGGAAUGAAUGGAGGAAUGGGGGUAUAUUGUCUCAUAUUAAUUUUAAUGAAGUUAAUUAAAAGGUGAAAAUGCCUUUAUUUAUAAAUUAGACGAGAAGACCCUUAGAAUUUUUAUAAUUUUAUUUAGUAAAUGAGUUAUUUUUGCUGGGGCGGCAGAGGAUAUUUAAUCGUCCUUAUUUUAGUUUUUAUCAGGCGACAUUGAUAAGUGUAAUUAAAUUACCUUAGGGAUAACAGCAUAAUUUUUAUAAGUUUGUGACCUCGAUGUUGGACUAGGAUUUUUAUGGCUAGUAGUCAAAAUAAAUUGUUCUGUUCGAACAGCACCUCCUACAUGAUCUG
rnacentral:rRNA from 1 species